AGAGAUGGUGCUGAUUCAGACGUGCGCACAGUGACACAGGUGCUAAAUGCAGUGCUGGAGGGAGUACAAAUCUGUGGAACCUGUUGCAGAAGCACUUUGGCAAUGUCACAGAGCAGAACUUAGUACUUCUGCGAGUACAUCCUAAAAAUGAAUGCCGAACCCUUACGAAGAGAUAAAGGUUAUUUGGUACAUAUUGGUGGUCUCUGUCCUUCGGUAUCUGAGAUAUGCAUCUCUUGCUUUCCAAAAAAAAAAAAAAAAAACAGUGAUGUAAAGAUGGCUGUGAAAGGAAUGAUGCCAAAAAGUAGGUAACAAGGCUUCCAGGCUCUCUUCAACGCCUCCAAGCUCCCCUUUCUCCAAACACAAAAGGAAGACGAAAACUACAAAUCCCCAUCUGCCCACCCUGCAGUUCCUGGGAAGAGACAGUCCUCAAAUUGUUCCUGCCUAGACCCCUGAAGCCUGGAGAAGGAGAUGGGGACAGGUGUGGCAGCGGGCGAGGAAGGACGUCCAAUGAGGGGACAGACGGGAGAAGGGACAUGGAGAGGAGGGGUCAGCGGAGAUAAAACAGUGAGGGGGAUGAGAAGGAAGAGCAAAAAAACUGGGAGAAAGGAGUGAGGAUCACAGAAGAGAGAGAAAGAUAAAAUGGAAGAGAAAAAGAAGAAAGGGUCAGGGUUAAAGGACGGGGAGACGGUGGCAAAGAGAAUGU